rnacentral:rRNA from 1 species
AAAUUGAAGAGUUUGAUCAUGGCUCAGAUUGAACGCUGGCGGCAGGCCUAACACAUGCAAGUCGAGCGGUAGCACAGAGAGCUUGCUCUCGGGUGACGAGCGGCGGACGGGUGAGUAAUGUCUGGGAAACUGCCUGAUGGAGGGGGAUAACUACUGGAAACGGUAGC